AUGAAACACUUUCAUAUGAAAUAUCUAAAUGAUUGAGAUCAAAUUAUGUAUCUUUAUUGCUUAUUUAAUUUUACUUCUGUAGAUAAAUUCACAAUAUGUGUGUGAAGACAAUUUGUAAGUCUUUGGUAGUUUUUAUGAUUGCAAUAUUAAAAUAUAUUUUUGCUGUUUCAGAUGAUGGUGCCUGUCAAUUAACUGAACAACUGUGAUGCCUCACAUAUUCAAACUCUCAAUCAUUUAAAAAACUAGCAUCUUACUGUGAGUCACUGUGUAAGUAGUUAUGAAGAAUAUUGUAUAUGGGUUCUAUUUAUAAUGAAAUACCCAACAUUAUUUCCAUAAAUAAUUUUUCUCUAUUAUUUUUAUGA
rnacentral:lncRNA from 1 species